rnacentral:lncRNA from 1 species
CGGCUUCGCGGGGCUCCCUCGGUCUGAGAGGUCGAAGGCUGCGAGUGUCGCUGCUGAAGGCUGUGGUGGGUGGGCCGGGCUGGGUCGCGGAUUCUGAGCUACAUCGCGGGUUUGGGGGUGGGUGAGGAUGCAAAGGCCACGAGGAGCCGCGGCGGCUCAGGAGCCCCUGGUGGGCGUCUGAGGAGAAGUCGCCCCAUGAGGAAGCUCUUCAACUUGGGGAGACGCCUGGGCCAGGCGGUCCUGGGCUCCGUCCACCACGAGUACGCGGGUCCCGGGUCCCACACCAGGGACGCGGAACUGCGGAAGACCCACAGGGCGGCCAUCAAGGGCGAGGCCGCGGAGGCGGAGCUGCCUGGCGCGCAGGAGCCAGGACGUGGAUGCCCGCGACAGGAAGGACAGGACUGCUCUACAUUUGGCCUGUGCGCAUGGCUGUGUGGAAGUGCUCACUCUCUUGCUGAGCAGAAAAUGCCAGAUUGACAUCUGUGACAGACUGAACAGGACACCUUUAAUGAAGGUGUAUGGUAGCCAACUCUUUUGGCAUGACAUAGAUUUCACUAAAUACAUAGAAUUAAAACGAAUUUAUCUCAUUUAAAUAUAACUAGUUGGUGAAACCUGUGGAAUAUGUAUUUUGAAUUCUUAGAAUUUAUAGUCUAAUUUUUCACCUAACACUGAUAGGCUGCACAUUGCCAGGAAGAGACGUGUUCCAUUAUUCUGCUGGAACAUGGUGCCAAUCCAAACAUUAAGGAUGUCUACGGCAACACUGCUCUUCAUGAUGUUAAACGUUAAGGAUGUCUACGGCAACACUGCUCUUCAUGAUGUUAAACGUUAAGGAUGUCUACGGCAACACUGCUCUUCAUGAUGUUAAACGUUAAGGAUGUCUACGGCAACACUGCUCUUCAUGAUGUUAAACGUUAAGGAUGUCUACGGCAACACUGCUCUUCAUGAUGUUAAACGUUAAGGAUGUCUACGGCAACACUGCUCUUCAUGAUGUUAAACGUUAAGGAUGUCUACGGCAACACUGCUCUUCAUGAUGUUAAACGUUAAGGAUGUCUACGGCAACACUGCUCUUCAUGAUGUUAAACGUUAAGGAUGUCUACGGCAACACUGCUCUUCAUGAUGUUAAACGUUAAGGAUGUCUAUGGCAACACUGCUCUUCAUGAUGCUGUGUGUAAUAAGGAGACUUCACUGGCAGGAAAACUGCUUUCCCACCAUGCAAAUAUUGAGGGUGGUAGGUAGUAGGAAGGGGGAGUAAUCUGAUGCAGAGGCAGAGGCUCAUGGAAAACCUCUACUAGGACAGUGCACCUGUGGCUUUGCAGGUUUUAGCCCCCAUGGCUGCUCUCAUGGACUGGGCUAGCGUUGACUGCCUGUAGGUUUUCCAUACUGAGGGUGUGAGCCAUUGGUUAGUCUGAAUCUGGGCUCUGGAGGGUGGUGGCCUCCUGUGUGGGGGCUCCAAGCCCAUAUUUUCCUUCUGCACUGCCCUAGCAGAGGUCUUCCAAGAGGCUUUGCCUCUGCAGCAGGCUACUGCCUGGAAACACUGGGCAGUGGUGUGGGUGUUGGAUCCUUCACCAAUGGUUAAUCUUCUUGAUGCUGAUCUCCUGAUAGUGAGUUCUCAUGAGAUCUGGUCUUAUAACAAGAUGUGGCACCUCUUUCCUCUCUCUGUCUUGCUCCUACUCCUAGCAUAUUAAACAUCUCAUUGCUGUUUGGCCUUCUGGUAUGGUUAAGAGGGGCCUGAUCAGUGUGGGCCUGGUCAGUGGACCUAGUCAGAUAGGACUUGGUCAGUGAGGCCUAUCUAAUGGGGGCAUGGUCAGCAGGGGUCUGUUUAGAGAGGGUCACAUUAGGGGGAUCUAGUAGUGGGGUCUUGGUGAGUGGGGACCAGUGGCACCCAGUUGUUUGGUGUCUGGUCAGUGCAAACCUGGGCUACGGGACUUGGUCAGUGGAGACCUGGUCAGCUGGGGCUCAGUGGUAGCCUUGUCAGCAUGGGCUGGGUCACUGGUGACCAGGUCAAGGGGUGCUAUUCAGUGGAGGCCUGGUCACAGGGACCUAGUCAGCAGGGUCUGGUGGGUGUGUCCUCAUCAGUGAGGCCCUUGUCAGUGGGGCCCUGGUCAGGGCAGCCUGGUCAGUAGAACCUAAUCAACGGGGGCCUGGUCAGAGAGGACUUGGUCAGUUGUGGCUUUUGUAGCACUGGUAUACGGGGUGACCUGGUCAGCGGGAUCUCAGCAAUGGGUGCCUGUUCAGUGGCGUCUACUCACUAGGUCAAGGUCAGGGGCAUCUGGUCACCUCAGGCUUGGUUAGUAGGGGCCUGGUCAGUGGCAGCCUGUUCCCUGGAGGCCUGGUCAGUGGGGCCUCAUCUGUGAGGCCAGGCAAUGGGGUCGUGAUCAGAGGAACCUGGUCAGUGAGGCCUUGUCCGUAAGGUACUUUUCAGUGGAGUCCUGGUCAUUGUGGGCCUGGCAGUGGAGAUCUGGUUAGUGGGGCCUCCCGAUGGGGGUCUAAUCAGUCAGGGUUUGACUGGGGAGGACCUGAUGUGUGGGGUGUGGCCAGCAGGGGCUUUGUCAUUGGGGGAUGAUGAGCAUUGCUGGGAGAUCACAGGUGCAAUGUGGGCCCCGUGGACAGCUGGGAUGGCCCAGAGGAGCCCAACAGCCCAGUCAAAAGUGGACAAAGCAGGUGUUUGGAUGGACCUGGUGAGAUCUUCCUCAGAGAUCCUGACAGGACAAAGUUAAAGGAAGGGCCAGAGUGGCCAGAGAGAUGGUCAAAGUCUACGGGCUGCACAGGAUGAAGGAAGCCAGGGAACAGGCAGGUGGGCAGCUGGGGUGCAGGGAGAGGCAGGUGCAUGCUGGGAGGUCAGACCCUGUGAGGGCUGUGGCGGUGUCAGGUGGGG